AUGUAGGGCAAUCUGUCUUUAAGUGGGAAUAAAUUACUCUUGAACAAAAUGAUUUCAGUUUCCUCUUCAAGUCAAGUGUCUUGU
rnacentral:pre_miRNA from 1 species